GCAGACACAUUCCAGCCAAUCAGCAGCAGACCCUCCCUCCCAGACCCUCCCACCUCCUGGACAGCAUCCAUUUUACAUUCAUUGUGAAGCUGCAUUCUUAGUGAGCUGUCCAGGAGGUGGGAGGGUCUGGGAGGGAGGGUCUGCUGCUGAUUGGCUGGAAUUUGUCUG